rnacentral:lncRNA from 1 species
UCGGACACAGUCUUAUUGGAAAAAUUACAACAUCUGAAGCUUUCAUAGCCCUCGAAUGUUCAAAACUUUGAACAUCCAACGUUUACGAAAGCCUCGGAUACAUACAUGGCUUUCAUUAUGACAAUCAUGUUAAAAUGAAACUAAAUUUAGUAAUUAUCUUAAAAAAUAAAAUAUAAACAGCUAAGAUAUUCUCAAAUGAGAUAGUCAUGCUAAAAUGAAAAAUCAUAAGAACAGUUCCUGCCCUUUAGGACAAAAGAAAGUAAAAAAGAUCAUAAAAUGGACUGAAAACACGAUAUGUUUAGCUAUGAACUCUUGUGGGAAUAACUUCUGAAGGAUUGUCAUUUGUAUUUUCCUUUUGUUCUUAGUACAACAAUCCUGUAUAUGAACAAUACAACUGAA